UACGAAGGGGGCUAGCGUUGCUCGGAAUCACUGGGCGUAAAGGGUGCGUAGGCGGGUCUUUAAGUCAGGGGUGAAAUCCUGGAGCUCAACUCCAGAACUGCCUUUGAUACUGAGGAUCUUGAGUUCGGGAGAGGUGAGUGGAACUGCGAGUGUAGAGGUGAAAUUCGUAGAUAUUCGCAAGAACACCAGUGGCGAAGGCGGCUCACUGGCCCGAUACUGACGCUGAGGCACGAAAGCGUGGGUAGCAAACAGGG
rnacentral:rRNA from 1 species